AGAAUCAACGCUGGCGGCGUGCCUAACACAUGCAAGUCGAACGCGACUUGGGGCUUCGGUUCCAAGUUGAGUGGCGAACGGGUGAGUAACACGUGGGUGAUCUACCUUCGAGCGGGGGAUAACGUUCCGAAAGGACGCUAAUACCGCAUGACGUCCUGGGCUUAAAGACCUGGAGACCAAAGCUAGGGACCGCAAGGCCUGGCACUUGAAGAGGAGCCCGCGUCCGAUUAGCUAGUUGGCGGGGUAACGGCCCACCAAGGCGACGAUCGGUA
rnacentral:rRNA from 1 species